rnacentral:rRNA from 1 species
GUCUAUGGCCAUACUACCCUGAAUACACCGAAUCUUGCCUGAUCUUGAAAGCUAAGCAGGGCUGGGCCUGGUUAAUAUUUGGAUGAGAGACCACCACACAGUCUGAAAGAGCUGAUU